CGAUAUCGACGUAGUUGAUCCUGGCUACAGAACGAACGCUGGCGGCAUGCCUAACACAUGCAAGUCGAACGAACCCUUCGGGUGAGUGGCGCACGGGUGCGUAACGCGUGGGAACCUGCCCUUAGGUUCGGAAUAACGUUUCGAAAGGAACGCUAAUACCGGAUAAUGUCUUCGGACCAAAGAUUUAUCGCCUUUGGAUGGGCCGCGUUGGAUUAGCUAGUUGGUGGGGUAAAGGCUCACCAAGGCGACGAUCCAUAGCUGGUCUUAGAGGAUGAUCAGCCACACUGGGACUGAGACACGGCCCAGACUCCUACGGGAGGCAGCAGUGGGGGAUAUUGGACAAUGGGCGAAAGCCUGAUCCAGCAAUGCCGCGUGAGUGAUGAAGGCCUUAGGGUUGUAAAGCUCUUUUACCAGGGAUGAUAAUGACAGUACCUGGAGAAUAAGCUCCGGCUAACUCCGUG
rnacentral:rRNA from 1 species